ACGGAAGAUGCGAGCGUUAUCCGGAUUUAUUGGGUUUAAAGGGUGCGUAGGCGGAAGGAUAAGUCAGCGGUGAAAUGCUUCAGCUCAACUGGAGAAUUGCCGAUGAAACUGUUUUUCUAGAGUAUAAAAGAGGUAUGCGGAAUGCGUGGUGUAGCGGUGAAAUGCAUAGAUAUCACGCAGAACCCCGAUUGCGAAGGCAGCAUACUGGGCUAUAACUGACGCUGAAGCACGAAAGCGUGGGUAUCGAACAGGAUUAGAUACCCUAGU
rnacentral:rRNA from 1 species